GAUGAACGCUAGCGGCAGGCUUAAUACAUGCAAGUCGAGGGGCAGCGAGUCCCGCAGCAAUGCGGGAGCUGGCGACCGGCAAACGGGUGCGGAACACGUACAGAACCUUCCUUCGAGCGGGAAUAGCCCAGAGAAAUUUGGAUUAAUACCCCAUAGCAUUACGAAGUGGCAUCACUUUGUAAUUAAAGAUUUAUCACUCGAAGAUGGCUGUGCGGCUGAUAGGUAGUUGGCGGAGUAACGGCCCACCAAGCCUUCGAUCAGUAACUGGUGUGAGAGCACGACCAGUCACACGGGCACUGAGACACGGGCCCGACUCCUACGGGAGGCAGCAGUAAGGAAUAUUGGUCAAUGGACGAAAGUCUGAACCAGCCAUCGCCGCGUGGAGGAUGAAGGUCCUCUGGAUU
rnacentral:rRNA from 1 species